rnacentral:rRNA from 1 species
AUUGCCUCAGUAACGGCGAGUGAAGCGGCAAGAGCUCAAAUUUGAAAUCUGGCCCCCUCCGGGGUCCGAGUUGUAAUUUGCAGAGGAUGCUUUGGGUGCGGCCCCCGUCUAAGUGCCCUGGAACGGGCCGUCAUAGAGGGUGAGAAUCCCGUCUGGGACGAGGUGUCCGUGCCCGUGUAAAGCUCCUUCGACGAGUCGAGUUGUUUGGGAAUGCAGCUCUAAAUGGGUGGUAAAUUUCAUCUAAAGCUAAAUACUGGCCGGAGACCGAUAGCGCACAAGUAGAGUGAUCGAAAGAUGAAAAGCACUUUGAAAAGAGAGUUAAACAGCACGUGAAAUUGUUGAAAGGGAAGCGCUUGCGACCAGACUCGCCUACGGGGUUCAGCCGGCAUUCGUGCCGGUGUACUUCCCCGUGGGCGGGCCAGCGUCGGUUUGGGCGGUCGGUCAAAGGCCUCCGGAAUGUAUCACCCCCCGGGGUGUCUUAUAGCCGGAGGUGCAAUGCGGCCAGCCUAGACCGAGGAACGCGCUUCGGCUCGGACGCUGGCAUAAUGGUCGUAAGCGACCCGUCUUGAAACACGGACCAAGGAGUCUAACAUCUACGCGAGUGUUCGGGUGUCAAACCCGUACGCGCAGUGAAAGCGAACGGAGGUGGGAACCCCUUGUGGGCGCACCAUCGACCGAUCCUGAAGUCUUCGGAUGGAUUUGAGUAAGAGCGUAGCUGUUGGGACCCGAAAGAUGGUGAACUAUGCCUGAAUAGGGCGAAGCCAGAGGAAACUCUGGUGGAGGCUCGCAGCGGUUCUGACGUGCAAUCGAUCGUCAAUUUGGGUAUAGGGCAAA